GUGCUUGCUUCAGCAGCACGUAUACUAAAAUUGGAAUGAUACAGAGAAGAUUAGCAUGGCCCCUGCGGAAGGAUGACAAGCAAAUUCAUGAAGCAUUCCAUAUUUUU
ensembl:snRNA U6 U6 spliceosomal RNA